AAACGACUCUCGGCAACGGAUAUCUCGGCUCUUGCAUCGAUGAAGAACGUAGCGAAAUGCGAUACUUGGUGUGAAUUGCAGAAUCCCGUGAACCAUCGAGUCUUUGAACGCAAGUUGCGCCCAAAGCCAUUUGGUUGAGGGCACGCCUGCCUGGGUGUCGUGAAUCAUUCGCCCUUUCUCACCCCUUGCGUUGUCGCAAGGGUGGACCGGGUGCGUAAUGUGGCCUCCCGUGGGAUCGAUGUGCGCAUCAUUGAGGUGCGGUUGGCCUAAAAUCGAGCACGGUAGUCGCUUGCACCACGACUUCUGGUGGAUCGUCUCAGACACACGUGAGAUUUGGUCGUGUCGUGUGCUAGGCUGCUCGUGGGCUCCGGACUCGGAUGAUCUUUGGAUGCGAUCCCAGGUCAGGCGGGGCUACCCGCUGAGUUUAAGCAUAUCAAUAAGCGGAGGAAAAGAAACUAACAAGGAUUCCCUUAGUAACGGCGAGCGAACAGGGAAGAGCCC
rnacentral:rRNA from 1 species